GCGGUCGUGGCGGAAUAGGCAGACGCGCUACUUUGAGGGGGUAGUGACCACAAGUCGUAUGGGUUCAAGUCCCAUCGACCGCACCA
rnacentral:tRNA from 1 species